rnacentral:lncRNA from 1 species
CAUCCAUUGUGUCUGUCUGCCCUCAGGUCAGUAACAUCAACCAGCCCCUGGAGAUUACAGCCAUCUCGUCCCCGGAGACCUCCCUGAAGAGCUCCCCUGUGCCCUACCAGGACCACGACCAGCCCCCCGUGCUCAAGAAGGAGCGGCCUCUGAGCCAGACCAAUGGGGCACACUACUCCCCACUCACCUCAGACGAGGAGCCAGGCUCUGAGGACGAGCCCAGCAGUGCUCGAAUUGAGAGAAAAAUUGCAACAAUCUCCUUAGAAAGCAAAUCUCCCCCGAAAACCUUGGAAAACGGUGAGUGACAAGUGUUUUGCGGCGUGGCCAGGCCUGUCCGUGCGGCCGUGGUGCCCAGUCAGUGCUGCUGACCCACCUGCUGGCCCGCUGCAUCGUGUUCCGCAUGGUGCUGGCGCGCCGCGUCGUGUCCUGCGUGGUGCUGGCCUGCUGCGUCGUGUCCUGCGUGGGCGCCGACACUGGGGGCGCUGGGCUUCCAGAACUGCCUCUGGGAGGCCCUCACUGCAGCCCAGGGCCUCUGCGCACACGCCAUGCUCUCACAGUGGGUGGCUGACCUGUGGGGAUCGUCACCUUGGGUCCCCUGUUCGCUUUGCACCCUGGCCUUCCCCCCGAGUGGUGCCUGCGUCCUCAGUGAGGACCCUGACCUGCUCUGGGGCAGCCCCACCUCCCCUCCCGGAGGCUGCUGACCUCAGCAUUUUCCCCAGAGCUCAUCCCGCAUGGCCUCUGAGACCCGCUUCAGCUGCCUUUGUCCUGUCUUCCGCCCUCCUGUCCCAUCCAGUCCCGUCCCCUGCCAUCUCAUCCUGUUCUGUACUACUCCUGUCCCAUCCCAUCUUGUCCCCUCCCGUCCCCUUCCCUCCUGUCCUCUCCCAUCCUGUCCCGCUUGGCAUCUUGAGUGUCUGUGACCAGCCCUGCCUGCAGAGUUGUCCGGGCCGUGGC